ACAACAAUGAUUUUGAAAUGAUGGGAUAAAAUGGAAGGAUUAAAAGCGGAAAUAACCCAUCAGUGCUUAAAACCCUUUUCAAUCUCAAACUUAAACGCUUCUGCAGCAGCAAUAGCUGCAAAAACUGUUUCAUCUUCUUCUCAACUCUUCACGCCAAAACCGCUCCCAACCGGCCACGACGACGACGGCACUCGACGGCGCACUACCACCGGUACGUGCGUGGUGUGCGAAGCUACCAGACGUGGGUGAGACGACGUGGGCAGUUGCUAUGCGUUCGUGCGUGGAGACGGUUGCCGCAACGUGGGGGCGAUGGUGGCGUCGAUCUGCUGCUUAUCGCCUAGGCUUUCUGCUGUUUGUUUUUUUGGUGUUUUAGGCUAGUGGGUUAGGGUAAUGUUUGGGCUUAGUGAUUUGGGCUUCAUUUAUGGUUUUGGGUUUGAUGUAAUCUGGGCUUUAGGUUUUACUUGGGCCCGGACAAAAAUUGGGUAUUACAAGUAUCAUUAGAUAAUAUUAUUAAUUGAAUAUUUUUUUAUUUUUUUUUCAUUUGUACUCAUUAUAUUAUUGUCAUUUUCUUUUAUUAAUUAUGUUAUUUUACCAUAA